GUGAGGAAUAUUGGUCAAUGGGCGAGAGCCUGAACCAGCCAAGUCGCGUGAAGGAUGAAGGUUUUAUGAAUUGUAAACUUCUUUUGCAGGGGAAUAAAGUACGGUACGUGUACCGUUUUGUAUGUACUCUGCGAAUAAGGAUCGGCUAACUCCGUGCCAGCAGCCGCGGUAAUACGGAGGAUCCAAGCGUUAUCCGGAUUUAUUGGGUUUAAAGGGUGCGCAGGCGGGUUGAUAAGUCAGCGGUGAAAGUUUGCAGCUUAACUGUAAAAUUGCCGUUGAAACUGUCGAUCUUGAGUGCAAAUGAGGUAAGCGGAAUGUGUUGUGUAGCGGUGAAAUGCUUAGAUAUAACACAGAACCCCGAUUGCGAAGGCAGCUUACUGGGAUGCAACUGACGCUCAUGCACGAAAGCGUGGGGAUCAAACAGGAUUAGAUACCCGAGUAGUCC
rnacentral:rRNA from 1 species